AAAUGUGUUGUCAUUCUGAUUAAGUGGUUCUCAACAGUUCAACAGUUCUUUGAGAAAAUUGUGAAAUGUUUAGGACCACUUGACCAGUCAGACAAAUGC
rnacentral:pre_miRNA from 1 species